rnacentral:rRNA from 1 species
GAUGAACGCUGGCGGCGUGCCUAAUACAUGCAAGUCGAACGAAACUUCUUUAUCACCGAGUGCUUGCACUCACCGAUAAAGAGUUGAGUGGCGAACGGGUGAGUAACACGUGGGCAGCCUGCCCAAAAGAGGGGGAUAACACUUGGAAACAGGUGCUAAUACCGCAUAACCAUAGUUACCGCAUGGUAACUAUGUAAAAGGUGGCUAUACUACCGCUUUUGGAUGGGCCCGCGGCGCAUUAGCUAGUUGGUAGGGUAAAGGCUUACCAAGGCAAUGAUGCGUAGCCGAAUUGAGAGGGUGAUCGGCCACAUUGGGACUGAGACACGGCCCAAACUCCUACGGGAGGCAGCAGUAGGGAAUCUUCCACAAUGGGCGAAAGCCUGAUGGAGCAACGCCGCGUGGGUGAAGAAGGUCUUCGGAUCGUAAAACCCUGUUGUUAGAGAAGAAAGUGCGUGAGAGUAACUGUUCACGUUUCGACGGUAUCUAACCAGAAAGCCACGGCUAACUACGUG